rnacentral:snRNA from 2 species
GUUUUGCCUUUGGGGACAUCCGAUAAAAUUGGAACGAUACAAAGAAGAUUAGCAUGGCCCCUGUGCAAGGAUGACACGCACAAAUAAAAAAAAAUAAGUAAAAACAAGUUUUC